CCAGAUUCGAAAUAGUGUGGUUUUUAUGUGAUGAGAUAUAUGAGAGAUAUUAUUGAAGAAGUGGAAACUAUCGAGAGAGAUUCACUUCGAUCAAUAUUCAUCAAAACGUAGUACUCUAGAGAAGAAAUUGAUGAAGUGCGUUCCGAGUGGGCAGAAUACAUACAAGACUAUAUUUAUGACUAGAAAAAGGACCAGUACGUGAAGAUUGUUGCACAUCCUGAUCACUUGAUCUAUUCAGAAAAGGACAAGUUAAUUUGCAUGGUUGUGGUCUGAUAAACUUAAUUUUGUGGUCUCAUCUUUUGUGGUGGUCAUGAACUUGUGGUAAUGUUGGGAUAGCUUGUAGUAAUUGUAGAAGUUUAUAAACUUAAGUGAAUGUACAUAUAUGUUGUACCAGUUUUUGGUUGAGACAAGAUGUA